GAUGAACGCUGGCGGCGUGCCUAAUACAUGCAAGUCGAGCGAACGGACGAGAAGCUUGCUUCUCUGAUGUUAGCGGCGGACGGGUGAGUAACACGUGGAUAACCUACCUAUAAGACUGGGAUAACUUCGGGAAACCGGAGCUAAUACCGGAUAAUAUUUUGAACCGCAUGGUUCAAAAGUGAAAGACGGUCUUGCUGUCACUUAUAGAUGGAUCCGCGCUGCAUUAGCUAGUUGGUAAGGUAACGGCUUACCAAGGCAACGAUGCAUAGCCGACCUGAGAGGGUGAUCGGCCACACUGGAACUGAGACACGGUCCAGACUCCGACGGGAGGCAGCAGUAGGGAAUCUUCCGCAAUGGGCGAGAGCCUAACGGAGCAACGCCGCGUAAGUGAUGAAGGUCUUCGGAUCGUAAAACUCUGUUAGUAGGGAAGAACAUAUGUGUAAGUAACUGUGCACAUCUUGACGGUACCUAAUCAGAAAGCCACGGCUAACUACGUG
rnacentral:rRNA from 1 species